rnacentral:rRNA from 1 species
AGUGAACGCUGGCGGCGUGCUUAACACAUGCAAGUCGAACGAGAACGGAUUAUAGCUUGCUAUAAUUGUCAGCUAAGUGGCGCACGGGUGAGUAAUGUAUAGAUAACCUGCCCUCUAGAAAAGGAAUAACAGUUGGAAACGACUGCUAAUGCCCUAUAUGCCUUUAAUACAUAAGUAUGCAAGGGAAACGCUUUAGUGCUAGAGGAUGGGUCUGUAUGGUAUCAGUUAGUUGGUGAGGUAAUGGCUCACCAAGACUAUGACGCCUAACUGGUUUGAGAGGAUGAUCAGUCACACUGGAACUGAGACACGGUCCAGACUCCUACGGGAGGCAGCAGUGGGGAAUAUUGCACAAUGGACGAAAGUCUGAUGCAGCAACGCCGCGUGGAGGAUGACACAUUUCGGUGCGUAAACUCCUUUUAUAUAGGAAGAUAAUGACGGUACUAUAUGAAUAAGCACCGGCUAACUCCGUG